CCUACGGGAGGCUGCAGUGAGGAAUAUUCGUCAAUGGGCGAGAGUCUGAACCAGCCAAGUCGCGUGAAGGAUGAAGGAUCUAUGGUUUGUAAACUUCUUUUAUAUGGGAAUACAGUGAGGAACGUGUUCCUUUUUGUAUGUACCAUAUGCAUAAGCAUCGGCUAACUCCGUGCCAGCAGCCGCGUAAUACGGAGGAUGCGAGCGUUAUCCGGAUUUAUUGGGUUUAAAGGGUGCGUAGGGGGUUAAGUAAGUCAGCGGUGAAAGUUUGUGGCUCAAACAUAAAAUUGCCGUUGAAACUGGUUGACUUGAGUAUAUUUGAGGAAGGCGGAAUGCGUGGUGUAGCGGUGAAAUGCAUAGAUAUCACGCAGAACUCCGAUUGCGAAGGCAGCUUACUAAACUAUAACUGACACUGAAGCACGAAAGCGUGGGGAUCAAACAGGAUUAGAUACCCGUGUAGUC
rnacentral:rRNA from 1 species